rnacentral:misc_RNA from 1 species
CACACAGAGGCAGUCAGUCAGUCAGCAGAUGUAGCGGCGGUAAGUCAUGCAGUUCCCAAUGCAUGACUUACGCACGCGCGGGGAGACAGGCCGGCUAAAAUGCACUGUGAUUUUGUCCUUCGUCGUGACUGGCCUGGCUUUCACUCUGCUUGGCUACGCUAUCGGCCGCUCCCACAACCUUCAGAGCGGGAGAAAAUGUGACACGUGCGUAAAUACAUACCCUUGGAGCAGUGAGAAUGGUAACGUUUCAUCAAACCCUAGUUCUCCUACGCCUCCCUCUCGGAUUGAUACGACACGAGAAACUAGCAGUGGGAGUGGUAACGUUUCAUCAACCCCUCCUCGUCCUCGGCCUCCUCCUCUUUGGAAUGAGACGGUACAAGCAUUAAUUGGUCCCUGCGUGGCUCCCCUGGCACCAGUGUCUCCGCUAUGGCCCUGCCGCGCACCGCACUGUUGGUGGUGGUGCUGCUACGCCCCGCGGCAGCAGACGAGGGGUUCACUGGCAUGCUGCGGGGUGUGUGUGGCGCCCCACCAGAAGCAGGGAGGCCCGUGGAGGCCGUGCAGUGCCCCGCCCCGCCCUGCAACACCACCACGGUCGAGGUCACUCUGGCGCUGCCUGUGCUGCUCAGCCUGCCCAGCGAGGCGUGGGUCGGCAUGACGGCUCAGCUGUACGAUCGCCAGGGUCACGGCCGCGGCCUGCUGGACGUGUGGCUGCAGGACCACCACAACGUCACGCUGCGCGGCGCCACGUGCGACAGUGACGUGCACAGCGACUCUACAGUGAGUCAGGGCACGUGGGUGCACGUGGCCGUGGUACCGCGGGACCACAAUGUGUUCGUCACAGUGACCAACGUGACCCGCGAGGCACGGCUCCUCCUCACCUACCACCACCACCACCACCACCACCUGCCCGCUACGCUCAGAAUGAAAUCGGCCCUGUGUGGAUACUCGGCCCUCCCGCCGCCGCCGCCGCCAAAGCCGCCGCAAAAGCCGCCGCCAAAGCCGACGCCACCACCACCACCACCACCACCACCACCACCACCACCACCACCACCCAAUCAAUGGUGAUGGCCAUCAGCGUCCUUGUAGGCGUGAGUGUGGUGGUGAGUGUGGGCGUGCUGGUGCUGGCUUACUGCGGGCAGCUCGAGGCGGAGGCCCUGCUGGAGAGAGUAUAAGCGUAGGCCGCCCACCUCCCCAGUGUGCCCUUGUGUGUUGGGGGGAGGGAGGACCACUGCACUUGAAUGAGCUGGCUGGCACACACACACACACACACACACACACACACACACACACACACACACACACACACAAGCAGGGAAGGGUCACAAGCAGCGCGUCAGGGAGUCAAGUUGGUGGACAAGCCUUGCCGAUUUAUCACCACUUGUCACACUCACAAUCUUUAGCCUCUAAAUCAAGAUAAGACAACAGCAACACCACCACCACCACCACCACCACCAGUAGCCACAUAGGCAGCAGCAGUACCUUGUGGCGCACCGACGCGAUGCGCGAGUUUCUGUGGCGGUGGGUGUGGUUGCUGUGGGUGUGUCUGGCGGCUGUGGCGGCGGCAGUGUCCGGCAAGGGGCAGUGUGAGGUGCUGGACCUUAGCCUGGAGCCUGCGGUGUACCCGCUGCCCACCAACCUGACGCUGCGUCCCGGAGUGAGUGGCUGGCAGCUUAACUUCACCCUGCUGGAUGGCCAGGCGGCGCCCGUAGCUUGCGUGCGCCUGAAGGAAGUAGGGAUCAAGGUGCAGGUCAUGUUGUAUGACAAGGAUUGCGUGACCAACAAACUGAUACAGUACCACUACCUCGAGCGCUCCCAGGUGCCGCCCCACAACUGGACUAGCCUGGCCCUGCACGUGAAGAACAAAACGGUGGUCAUCACGCCGCCAAACGGCUACACCGUCACUCUGAAUGCCAACACGUCUCCGGUGCACCACGCCUUGCAGGUGAGCCUGGCGCAAAACGUGGAGGUGGCAGUGGGGUGCCGCAUCUCCUGUCCCCUGCACACACACGCCUCACAGGGCGUCAGGAAGAAAGUGCAGGAGUGGCGCCGCGGCAAGUUGCACUUCUCCUUCCUGCCGGGGCCGUCCUUCGACAACCUGCACUACGAGGUGAAUUGCACAACGCAGCACAAGCCCUUCAGCCAAAAGGUGGACAUCAAGCCGGGGCCGGGCUGGAACCAGGUGCAGCUGGAGCAGCAGGAUACCAGGGCCGAGGUGUUCCUCAACAACAGGCUGCUGGAAGAGCUCUUGUUGCCGGACACCUGCAUCGACACCAUACACGUCAUUUGGAUGGUCGGAGACGCCUCCUUCGGUUUCAAAUGCGUGCCCGAGGCGUUGCACCUGCUCGGCGCCGACGCCACAGCCACGCCCGCCCCGCCAAGCAUCUCCACAGGAGCAGCUGUGGGUAUCACGAUAGGAACCUUGCUGCUCGUCGAGGUGCUGGGUUGCGUCUUCAUCGUGCUGGUCAUUUACUGCUACCUCAAGUCACGGACUCGCCCCACACCACACUCAGGCGACCAGGUCACCUACACCAGCGUGGACCAGAGUGAGCCAGUACGCAAUGGCCGAGUGACACCGCCAGACACUCAACCCAGUCAGGCCCCCAUGAGUCCAGGAGUGUCGCCCAGCGAGAAUGACCCGCCGCCAGCCAUACGACUCGCUCAGGACACACAGGCCUUUCAGAACAAAGGAGCGCCGCCCAGCGAGGAGGACCCGCCGAUAUUCACACAGGCAGGUGUCUCAGACACCCUUCACACACCCAUAUCACACAGUCAAGCGCCACAAACAAACACACAUUCCACCGACACGGACGCCCACCAUGAUUCACUGUCACAGACUGAGGAUGCGUCACAAACCUUGAAGCGCACCGCUGCGUCACAACCCAGCACACGCACCAUUGGCACCAACACUAACAACAUCCAGUCACGGUCAGAGAAGGCGUCACAGACUGCCCCUCACAUAUACCCAUGGAACUCAGACCCAGAAUCAUACAAGGCAAGCUAGCCAAACACCACACGUGGAGUCCUGACAUGAGACUGCCUCUACCUCAUUCUCUCAAUUUCUCUGACGGGUUAGUCGGCAAGCGGGCCAGUGACGGGGACCAGCAUAAAGAAAUUAUUCUACAGCCGCACAGACCGCAACACUUCAUGUUCCCGAGGAUGUGUGUGAGGAGGAGUAGUCUCACAGAGUCAGAAGAGAAGAAAGUUGCCAGUCCCGAGGAGAUCUGCUUGCUGGGUCCCGAGACGGAGGACAUGAACUUGUGCCCCGGAAAACAAAAUAUGGUCGAAGAUUUCCCAAUAGAAGUGAUACAGCAGUAAUAACUUUGAUCUUGGUCAUUCUCUUUGUUUUCAUCUUUCUCAAAAUGUUCAUAAAAUUCUCUCUCUCUCUCUCUCUCUCUCUCUCUCUCUCUCUCUCUCUCUCUCUCUCUUUCUCUCUGGUGAUUCAGUACAUAAUGAAUGAACAGGAAAAUAUUUACUGAAUUAUAUCAAUGUUAUGUUUAUGAGAUGGUCAGAUGGUGUAUGUGUGUGUGUGUGUGUGUGUGUGUGUGUGUGUGUGUGUGUGUGUGUGUGUGUGUGUGUGUGUGUGUGUGUGUGUGUGUG